rnacentral:rRNA from 1 species
AUACGGAGGAUCCGAGCGUUAUCCGGAUUUAUUGGGUUUAAAGGGUGCGCAGGCGGCCAUUUAAGUCAGCGGUUAAAUCGUGGGGCUCAACCCCAUUCUGCCGUUGAUACUGGGUGGCUUGAUUGCGGUCGAGGUUGGCGGAAUUCGCUGUGUAGCGGUGAAAUGCAUAGAUAUGACGAAGAACACCGAUUGCGUAGGCAGCUGCGCAGACCGGAAAUGACGAUCAUGCACGAAAGUGCGGGGAUCGAACAGGAUUAGAUACAGUGGUAGUCCGCACAGUAAACGAUGAAUACUUGUUUUCGGCGAUAUAAUGUCGGAGGCAAAGCGAAAGCGAUAAGUAUUCCACCUGGGGAGUACGCCGGCAACGGUGAAACUCAAAUGAAUUGGCGGGG